UACGGCCGCAAGGUUAAAACUCAAAUGAAUUGACGGGGGCCCGCACAAGCGGUGGAGCAUGUGGUUUAAUUCGAUGCAACGCGAAGAACCUUACCUGGUCUUGACAUCCACGGAAGUUUUCAGAGAUGAGAAUGUGCCUUCGGGAACCGUGAGACAGGUGCUGCAUGGCUGUCGUCAGCUCGUGUUGUGAAAUGUUGGGUUAAGUCCCGCAACGAGCGCAACCCUUAUCCUUUGUUGCCAGCGGUUAGGCCGGGAACUCAAAGGAGACUGCCAGUGAUAAACUGGAGGAAGGUGGGGAUGACGUCAAGUCAUCAUGGCCCUUACGACCAGGGCUACACACGUGCUACAAUGGCGCAUACAA
rnacentral:rRNA from 1 species